ACACUGGCCUCAUUCUAGUUCCACAGUACCACUUCUAGCCUUGGGGCCUAGGGUUGAGGUAUCCUUUCCCUAAGGUGGUCCCAUUCCCCCACUGGCUCUGGACAUAGUGAUUCUCCAGUGACCAGUCUAGUUUUUGCUCAUUGUGCUUGUCUCCUUGCAGUCCUAUUCUCUCUUUUUAUCCCACAUGGUAAGAACACGUCUUAGCAAAAUAAUAUGCCCAAAUUAAACUCUCAAGGGGGUAGCAUCGUUUUCAGCAGAAGGCCACAUCUUUUGCAAAAUGUGUUUUGUGUUUGCUGUUGGUUCUUUUCCUCUGGAGACUGGAAGACUUUAGCAACUCAACAGGAGACCAAGUGGAACUUCCGAUUGCCUUCUGGACUUGUGCUGAGGAUGUAGAACUCUCAGCUCCUCCAGCCCCGUGUCUGCCUGGACGGUGCUGUGCUUCCGCCAUGAUGAUAAUGGACUGAACCUCUGAACCUGGGGAGACUAUAUAUGAUUAUACUGUCAGACAUUCUGAGAGAAGAAGAGGGUUCUAGCUCAGAAGGUCUGAAGGCCUGAAGAAAAGAGAAGCACAGCUUCCUGGAAUGCAAAGACAGAGGCUGUGUAUGGAAUGCUCUGUCACAGACACAGUUUACCCCACCAUGGUGCCACAAGGGAAACCCUGGAGAAUAAAUAAAUAAUUCAACCUCUUUCCUUGAAUUUGUUGGCACAACUAGUCUGGAAGUCCACUGGGCACUGGGUAAAGGAUCCUGUCAGACAGUCCAAAUCUUUCAGGCAAAAAGUAGUGGAGACCAGUUGAGAGAUAUGCGACCCAAUGGGAAAACCUCACAAAUUUCUAGAAGAUCUGUCCAUCUUUAUUAACUGUUGGAAGCAAUUAAUAAAGUCAGACUAUAGUGCAAAUGCUUGAGCAGUAUGGAUCACAGCAAAAUGAUUUCUUUACAGGCAUUGGUAUUAAGCCUCAUGCUUUAAUUCAUCCAAUUCUGAUAUAAAGAUCUACUGCAGAUCUGAGUGGUUAAGUGGUUGAUCCAAGGAAUGCACUGCUAUUUAGUAUGGUCAUUCAAAUAAUCUCCUUUUGAUAAUUAAUUUUCUCUGCAUUCAUAGCAUAUGUAUCUUGCCAUUUUUGUGUUAUAGAUUUCAUCAUACUGCAUGUGUGUGUAAAGCAUCAUGAUUUACACUUCUAAUGGACCAUGUAGAAGAAAUAACUUUUAAAGAUGAGUUCACUGCUGGUCCCCUUCUGUAUAGAAAUAAGAACAUAAUUAAGGAGAAUUUGUAGACAUAUUGAGAUUGUCAGGCUCAAUGUAGGCUCAUCCAGUAGCCAGCAACCCUGAAGAAACAGAAUUCAUGUGUGCAUCAGUCAAGGUUUAACUACAGGAUCAAAAUCAUUCCAAGAGCAGAUGUGAUAUAGCCACAUUUCAGACCGUUAAGACGUCAUGGUUGGGUCCUUCUUUCCUUCCUGCUGGGUACUGGCUGCUUGCUGUUGAGAUGGGCAAGCAUAUGAAACUUGGGAAAGUGGUUCUGGUCUUAGCUGGAUACUACUCUGGAAGCAAAACCAUCAUGUACAACCUUGAUAAUGGAACCUCAGACCACCCUUAUAGCCAUGCCUUGUGGCUGGAAUUGACCACUGUUUCAGAAAAGUGAAGCUGUCAUGGGCAAGAAGAAAAUUGUCAAGAGAUUAAAGAUCAAGUCCUUUGUGAAAGCUUAUAAUUACAGACACAUCAUGCCCACAAGCCACCCUGUCGAUAUUCCCAUGGACAAACUGUUGUAAAUAAGGAUGUCUUUGGAGAGCUCUGAAAUGCAAUGCCAGGUCAAGGUCAAGUUUGAGGAAUGAUAUAAAACUGGGAAGAAGAAAUGGUUUUUCUAGAUGCUUUGCUUUUAGAUAUAUUUCUGUUUCUGUAUUAAAAAUUAAAGGUGUUAUUGUCA